AUGAUUUGGGCCUAUAGGUGGAAACCAACUCCCCCUACAGCAGCUUGGCAUGUUUCCUCGCUGCCUUUACUUCAAGACUGGAUCCCCGCCGCUGCUCCAGGAGCCUUGCCUAAGAAUGCAAUUUUAUGCAAGGUAUGCGUGUAUGCAUGCGCACGACCAAAUAAAAAUUAGCGUAGCUUGCACAAGUGGCGCAAGGCUAAAGAAACAGCGGAGCUGAUCGGCACCUAGCUGGUCCUGGUCUUACGGGUUAUGGUUUUCCGGAAUUUAUUGAUUAUUGAUCGAUUAUGGAUUACCUAUUGAUUGGCUAUCGCAAGGUAUGGGCCACGUAUUUGGGCUAGGCUAAUCACUCCCAAGUCAUCCCCAGCACUUUCCGGAAUUUCUUGAUUAUUGAUCGAUUAUCGAUUAGCUAAUGAUUGGAUAUCGCAAGGUGAUGCGAGGCGCAGCUGUGCGCUGUGACGUCAUCGCCAGGCGAGGUUUUGCGAACACUACGCGGGGAAGCAAAAAGCUUACACAGCUCCGCUGUUAAAAAUUUAAGGAAGUGUGGCCUCAGUUCCUGAAAGCGCAAGCGGGACCCAACACGACUCAGCGUUUUCUCUGACAGCUCGUCUAAGAUGACCCAGAACAGGUCACCAAACAUCUCUCUUCGUUUACGUUUUUCCCCCGGUUGAUUCAGCAGAUACGAGGGAAGGUUCGGGAACACUUUCGGCACCGCACCCUCGGCAAGUGUCCACUUGUCUCGUGGCACCUCAACCGUCUGUCUAUUGAUAAUAUGCACAAACACUUUAAGAUGUCCUGCUCAUGAAAGUUUAAAUCACACACCAUGGAUUUCGCAGAGAGUUCUUGGUCGGCACGAAGAAUCGCCUUGUUGAAUGCCGAGAGAAGUGUCGCGUUGCUGGGAGCACAUAAGAAGUGGCGCGCCGAAUUGUCGACAUCGUUUGAUAGGCGCUUCUUGCAGUCAGGAAAGCAGCACGUCGGCAUCGUCUGCUAAUAUCCUUAACAAACGCGGUGAAGGCUACAGUUUCGCGGAUGGCAUGCUUCCUGAAAUCUGCCGUCAACAACCAACUCCAAAAUACACCAACGCUGCACCGCGUGUUUCGUCCAGCCAGUUCGCGUAGCCGACUAGUGGGGAAGUGAAGCUAGGUGUGGCGUCCGCGUCAUGAAGGCGCGGGCGGGUGGCGGUUCCGCGCAACGCCGCCGAGUUUUACAACUGAAGCUAGUCUGGUAACGUUGGGGCAAACUUUGUCUUGUUACCAUUAGUUAUUUCAUCUUGGGGCGUUGCCAGAGCUCGUGAAGGUCCCGAGUUUUGCGAAACUCGAGACAUCCUGCAUAGCACCCCAGGGGCUGUAUUCACGGGAGAUCACUUUCGCAGAUAGUUUCAUUUUCAAGAGAUUUUACAAAAAUCGGCCCCAGACGCGUCCGCGGAUAGGACCGUCAGUGUUUAUGGCACUGUGCCCAGCCCGCUAUCUUUGCAAAGUGAAAGGGCGCUGAAAAAAGCGCAAGUGAAGCCCGCGAAUACAGGCAAAAUUGCCGCGUGACUGACCGCUCGAGGCACUUUGCGUGUGUUCGCGGGCUUCUUUCACGCUCGGAAAAACACUUUUAUGUAGCAAGUUUUGAGCAACAAUAAGCUGCAUCGGGAGUUUCUCAUGUUGCUCUACAAUCUUCUCAUUAACACUUUUAAUCUAAUUAGAAUAUUUGAGAUAUUUGAGAAGUUGAUAAACAAUUGAGUCUAAUUAUGUAAUCAGGGUGAACGCAAAUAAUAUUAUAAAUAUAUCCAAGCGACGGCAAACAACCUUACCUUGGUUCUGUCUAGCUACGUGGCAUUUGUAUAUUUUUAAACCUUCAUGUAUAAUAGUUGGGACACCUGGUAUAUAUGCAGCGUCUUUGUAGUUAUACGCAAUGGCUAGCUUCACAAAGUCUGCGCACCAUAGCUGUUAUUUGCUAUGAGAGUCAUAAUUUUUGCUCUAAAUUAGAGUCGCCAAGCACAUAGGAAAAAAAGUUAUUUGUUAUCACGAUUGCCUAUACCGGGGCUUCUUUUAUUAUUUUUUGGAAGUCCAAAAUUUAUAAAAAAAAUGCCUCUGCACUACAUUAAUCCUCCUCCAGUCCACAGCAUUUUCAGGCAUCGAGGAAAAUGCAUGGAUGAAUUUUUUGCCUUCCACCGACAAAAGACAUCGCCGAGAGCUAGUGGGGCUAUACUAGUCAAAGUGAAACCAAAUAGACCUUAUUUCAAGCUAUCCCAGAAACCACUGCGGGCGCGCAGUGCAGCAUGGGAAAAGUAUGUAUGCCGGCGGGGACGAGGUCGGGCCGGGUCGGGCCGGCAGAGUCUGGCAAGCACUCCACGUGGGGAGCGAAAAGCUGCGACGCGAGAAGCGUUAAAUCCAGGUCUGGUGAAGGCAGUUCGUCAACGCAGCUUCUCUAUCCGCAUCGUGACACGCUCGCGUCUUCUGAAUAAACCACCAAGUGCAUCGCGUGAGGUGCAGCAAUGGCCUCUGUGAAAGAGAGGCCGGUACUUGCUCCACAGGAAUUUCAGGCUCUUAAAGGCCCAUGGACAAAGCAAAUGAAAGGUUUUCCAGCCACCUUUUGUGAGGCAAGCAUCCUGCAGUUUGAAAACCCACAUGGAGCCAAGAAGCACUGUUCUUCUGGAUACCGUAUGUUUAAAGCUGACAAAGUGAGCUCUGUGCUUUUGCACUACGGCACUGACAUUACAUUUAAUAAAGCAAGUGUCCAGGCACAUUUUUAAUUAAGCGAGAUGUAUGACACUAGCUGCGUACUCGCCUCCGACGGCAAAGUCCAAAGUGGUCGGUGCACAUGUGCGGAUGGUGCAGGAGGCGUGUGCAAGCAUGUCGCUGUAUUACUGUGGUACUUUCUGGACGUUCAGCGCAUGGGCCAUCUCUUUGUGCCAGAUAGCAUAUCAUGCACAUCUAAGUCAACAACUUGGGGGUGUCAGAGCUCAACGCGUAAACUUGAGAUGACGGACUUUUCAGAGCUCAAGUUUACUGAGCACCAGCCAGGCAAAGUGCCUCGGCAACAGGAACGCUCAGCUGAAAAGCUCAAUUUUCAAAUGAAAGCGUCUGCACUGAAGAAGCUGUGUACAGGUCUCCAGGAAUCUGGGCUCUCUCCAAUGUUAGUUGCUGUGAUUGAGGAUGUCGGUUAUCAACCGAACAAAAUUUGCCAGUCCGCUGAAGGUGUGUCCAAGCAGCAACAACAAAUAAGGCUGCCGUUGUGUAUGGAAUAUAAAACACGAGAUGACAUGAAAGUUUGUUCUUUGUCCCUUGAAGAGGCUCAGGCCUUGGAAGAAAUGACAAGAGGCCAGAGUAAUGUCCC